rnacentral:rRNA from 1 species
GACGAACGCUGGCGGCGUGCUUAACACAUGCAAGUCGAGCGGUAAGGCCCUUUCGGGGGUACGACGAGCGGCGAACGGGUGAGUAACACGUGGGUGACCUGCCCUCAGCUCUGGGAUAAGCCUGGGAAACCGGGUCUAAUACUGGAUAUGACUCCAUGACGCAUGUUGUGGGGUGGAAAGCCUUGUGCGGCUGAGGAUGGGCCCGCG